CCUGACUCCUCCCAUACAUGAUCACAUGGCCAUGACAUCAUCACAGGUCCUUUACUUCCUCCUGCAGCACAGUCUGGAGCCUGACUCCUGCACUUGGUGGUAGAAAUAAAAACACCCGACCGUCCAUGGUGAAGGAUUGUCAGAGGAAGAGGAGGACACGUCCCGCCCAGAGGUAUAUAUGGACAUCCUAGAUGUGUGCUGUCAUGUCAGACUCUUGGUAAACUAUUUACCGGUUCCUACAAUAUAGGAUCCGCUCAGUGGAUAUCU